ACAGGUGCUGCAUGGCUGUCGUCAGCUCGUGUCGUGAGAGUGUUCGGGUUAAGUCCCGUAACGAGCGCAACCCUUGUCCUUAGUUACCAGCACGUUAUGGUGGGCACUCUAAGGAGACUGCCGGUGACAACCGGAGGAAGGUGGGGAUGACGUCAAGUCAUCAUGGCCCUUACGGCCUGGGCUACACACGUGCUACAAUGGUCGGUACAAAGGGUUGCCAAGCCGCGAGGUGGAGCUAAUACCCAUAAAACCGAUCGUAGUCCGGAUCGCAGUCUGCAACUCGACUGCGUGAAGUCGGAAUCGCUAGUAAUCGUGAAUCAGAAUGUCACGGUGAAUACGUUCCCGGGCCUU
rnacentral:rRNA from 1 species